rnacentral:rRNA from 1 species
GAUGAACGCUAGCGGCAGGCCUAAUACAUGCAAGUCGAACGAGAUUAAGAGGCUUGCUUCUUAUGAAAAUGGCGCACGGGUGCGUAACGCGUAUGCAACCUACCUUAAUCAGGGGGAUAGCCCGAAGAAAUUCGGAUUAAGACCGCAUAAAAACACAGGAUAGCAUUAUCCAAUGUUCAAAUAUUUAUAGGAUUAAGAUGGGCAUGCGUGUCAUUAGCUAGUUGGCGGGGUAACGGCCCACCAAGGCGACGAUGACUAGGGGAUCUGAGAGGAUGACCCCCCACACUGGUACUGCGACACGGACCCGACUCCUACGGGAGGCAGCAGUAAGGAAUAUUGGUCAAUGGAGGGAACUCUGAACCCGCCAUGCCGCGUGCAGGAAGACAGCCCUCUGGGUCGUAAACUGCUUUUAUUCGGGAAUAAACCUUUCUACGUGUAGGAAGCUGAAUGUACCGAAGGAAUAAGGAUCGGCUAACUCCGUG